rnacentral:rRNA from 1 species
ACGAACGCUGGCGGCGUGCUUAACACCUGCAAGUCGAACGGUGAAGCGCCUUCCUUUUUGGUGGGUGUGGAUGAGUGGCGAACGGGUGAGUAACACGUGAGUAACCUGCCCCCUUCUUCUGGAUAACCGCAUGAAAGUGUGUCUAAUACGGGAUAUUCCGGGUCUGUCGCAUGAUGGGUCUGGGAAAGAUAUUGUUUCGGUGGGGGAUGGGCUCGCGGCCUAUCAGCUUGUUGGUGGGGUGAUGGCCUACCAAGGCGGUGACGGGUAGCCGGCCUGAGAGGGUGGACGGUCACACUGGGACUGAGACACGGCCCAGACUCCUACGGGAGGCAGCAGUGGGGAAUAUUGCACAAUGGGCGCAAGCCUGAUGCAGCGACGCCGCGUGAGGGAUGGAGGCCUUCGGGUUGUGAACCUCUUUCGCCAGUGAAGCAGGCCUGCCUCGUUUGUGGGUGGGUUGACGGUAGCUGGAUAAGAAGCGCCGGCUAACUACGUG